GGGGCUUUCGUCUGUACACCACCAUAAGGGAGUCUACAGAACUGUAGUUCGCACUGGGCCUCCUAAUUAGUGUGUUGUGUGGUGGUGAGAAGGAUCUGCCCUAUUCAUUCGUUUACCUUAUUGUGAUCGUGUGUUAAGAAGAUGUUACAGAGAGCCGGGAUGAUGAGAGUCGCUGUGGUACUGGUGAUCCAGUUGGGAUACGUGACAGGUGUGCCGCCCAGCAAACCCUACACCUGUCGGGGCCUCAACACCAACCAAGCCUGUGUCCCCUCUGAGCCCCAGGAGUACAACAACGUCGAACCUGCCCCCACUAUUUGAGACUCUCUGGUUGAUCCCGGAAUGAGGGAGGCGAACAA